CGGGGUGUGGCGUAGCCUGGUAGCGCGCACCGUUCGGGACGGUGAGGUCGGAGGUUCAAAUCCUCUCACCCCGA
rnacentral:tRNA from 2 species